rnacentral:rRNA from 1 species
AGCCGCCGCGGUAAUACCAGCAGUCCAAGUGGCAGCCGCUUUUAUUGGGUCUAAAACAUCCGUAGCUCGCUUCGUAAGUCUCGUGUGAAAUCUGGAGUCUCAAGUUUCAGGCGUGCACGAGAUACUGCGGAGCUAGAGACCGGGAGACGUAAGAAGUACGCUUAGGGUAGCGGUAAAAUGCGUUGAUCCUUAGUGGACUAACGAUAGCGAAGGCAUCUUACGAGAACGGAUCUGACAGUGAGGGAUGAAGGCUAGGGGCGCAAAACGGAUUAGAUACCCGUGUAGUCCUAGCAGUAAACACUGCACACUAAACAUCGGUACCUCCUCGAGAGGUAUCGGUGCUGUAGGGAAGCCGUAGAGUGUGCUACCUGGGAAGUAUAGUCGCAAGGCCGAAACUUAAAGGAAUAGGCGGCGGGAUACUACAACCAGUGACGCGUGCGGUUCAAUUCGAUUCCACACCGUGAACCUCACCAGGACCGACAGCAGAAUGAAGGUCAGUCUAAAGGGCUUACCUGACACGCUGAGAGGAGAUUCAUUGCCGACGUCAGCCUGUGUCGUGAGAUGAUCUGUUAAAUCAGGUAACAGGCGAGACCCGUGUGCACAUUUGCAUUGAACAAUGUGCAGACUGCCUUGGCAACAAGGAGGAAGGUGCGGGCUACGUCAGGUCAGUAUGUCCCGAAUGCCCUGGGCUACACGCGCGCGGCAAUGCUGCAUUCAAAGGGCUGCGACCCCGAGAGGGGAAGCUAAUCUCAUAAACUGCAGCUUAGUUCAGAUCGAGGAUUGCAACUCAUCCUCGUGACGCUGGAAUUGGUAGUAAUUGGAUUUUAUCAGAGUCCAGUGAAUAAGUCAAUGUCCCG